rnacentral:tRNA from 1 species
UCCCGUGUGGCUCAGUUGGUUGAGCAUGGUGUUUGCAAUGCCAGGGUUGUGGGUUCGAUUCCCACAGGGGAC